CCCGCCCCUUCCGCCCAGGGCCCGUCCUUUCCCGGUCAUCCCAGCCCCUUCCCGGCCAGGCUCCGCCCUCCACCCCGCCCCACGCCAGCCCGUCACUCAGCAGUCACUCGGUCACUUGGGGAAAAGCGGGCGCCAAGGGCAGAGUGGGCUGGGUUGCCGCCAGUUGCCCUGUCCCAGUGUCCCCCGCCCCCGACUGUCCCAGCCCACGCCCUGAACCCUCCGGAUGACGCUCGCCCAGCUCUUGGCGGCCAUUGGGACCCCUACUCCACUUCUCUGCACAUCUCGCGAGCCUCGGAUGGCGCCCGAGAGCCCAGGACCGGCCACGCGCGGACCUGCGCCGCCACCUGGUGGCCGCCGGCGCAAACGGCACCCAGGAUGCUCAGAAGAACAUUCGCACGACUGGAGCCAGGGAGAUGCAGAUGCAGCACCAAGUCCCAGAGGGAACACUAUGGGCCAAACGGCAGUGUGCAUGGCAGGAUGGUGUACAUGGCUCAACCCAAGGCCUCUCAGGAAUACGUCAAAAAGCCCCAAGAGAAGUUUACAGCAAUCUGAAGUAAAUGAAAAUGAAAACACAACUUACAAAAUUCAUGGAAUGCCAAGGAAACAGUGCCAAGAGGGAAAUCUGUAGCAUUAGAUGCACACGGUGUAAGUGAAAAGACCUGAAUUAGUAAUCUGGAUGUCUACUUUUGGAAACUACAGAAAAGUAAAGCAAUGAAAGUACUAAAGCAAGCAGAAGAAAUAACAAAAACUAGGGGAAAAUCAAUAAAACUAAAACCUUGUUCUUUGAAAAAACUUUUUCAAUGAAUUGAUAAACCACUGGCCAGGCUUAUCACAAACGGAAAGCAGACAUUACUCAGUAAGAGGAGCCCUCGCUGCUUACCCCAAGGGCAUGAAAGGGAUGAUAAAAGAAUAUUACGAACAAUUACAGGUCCACACAUUUGAUAACUUACAUGAAACGGACUGAUUUAUUGAAAGACACAAACUAUCCAACUCAUACAAGGAGAAACAAACUGACCAAGCCUAUAUCUAAUUAGAUUUAAAUAAUUAAUUAAUUUUCCAUGUUGAACCUGGGGCCUUGCACAUGCUAGGCAAGCACUGUACCACUGAGCUACACCACCAGCGCUCCACUGGUAAAUUCUACCAAACACUUAAGGAAUAUACCAAUUCUCUAUAAUUUCUUCCAGAAAAUAGCAAAGAGAACACUUUUUAAUUCAUUCAGAGGCAGUAUUCCCCUGAUAAAACCAAAACCAGAUAAAGACACAAGAAAAAAAAGGGGAAACUACAGACCAAUAUCUCUCAUGAAUGUAGAUGCAAAACUCCUCAACAAAAUAUUAGCAAAUCAAUUAUAGCAGUGUAUAAGAAUUCUACAUCACAGCCAAGUGAGGUUUAUUCCAGGGAUAUAAGGCUGGUUCAGCAUUGGAAAGCUAUUAAUGUAAUGUCGUCCAUCUCAUCAUCAACAGGUUAAGAAUGAAAAAACCACAUAAACUUAUCAUUUGUUGCAGGAGAAACAUUUGACAAAAUCCAAUACCCAUUCGUGAUUAAAACUCAAAACCUGGGAAUGAAGGAGAAUUUCCUUAACUUGAUAAAGAUCAUCAAAAAUGCUCAGCUAACAUCAGACAAUGGGGAGAGACUAGAUAUCUUCCUCCGCAAUCAGGAGCAAGACACUCUUCUCUCCCUACUCCUCCUCAGUAUUGUACUAGAAAUCCAGGCUAACAAAAUAAGACAAGAAGAAUAAAAUAUGUGCAAUUGGGAAGAAAAAAAUAGAAUUGUCUUAUUUGUAGAUGGCGUGACUAUGUAGGAAACCCCAAAGAAUUAACAAUAAAAGUCCUGGAACUAAUCGAGAAUUAUGGCAACAGUCCAGGAUACACGGUUAAUUUAUGAUAGUCACUUGCUUCCUAUUUACUAGGAAUAGACAAGGGUAAAUUAACAUUUAAUACACAAUACCACUUACAUUAGCACCACAAGAAAUGAAAUACUUAGGUAUAAAUCUACAAAUAUGUACAGGAUCUACAUGAGAACAACUACAAACCUCUGAUGAAAUAAAUCAAAGAUAUAAAUAAGUGGAGAGAUAGUCCAUUUUUAUCAGUAGGAACACAAUAUUGUCACAAUAUCAGUUCUCCCCAACUUGAUCUGUAGAUUCAAUACAGUCCCAGUCAAAAUCUAGCAAAUUACUUGUGGAUAUUGACAAACUGAUUCCAAAGUACAUGAGAAAAAUCAAACGCCCAGAAUACCCAGUUGCUGCAGCCGUAGCAACUCUGGCGCUGGCAGAGGACAGACCAACAGGCCAAGAGAACAGGACCAAGAACCCAAAACCAACCCAUGCAAGCACCACCAACUGCCUUUGACAAAGGAGCACAGGGAAUUGCAAAUUGAAACAACAAGACACCAAUCGCAUCUACAAAAAUGGCUACAAUCCAAAAACUGAC
rnacentral:lncRNA from 1 species